AGAACGAACGCUGGCGGCAGGCCUCAAACAUGCAAGUCUAGGGGGUGUAGCAAUACAUCACCGGCGGACGGGUGCGUAACGCGUGGGAAUAUACCUAUUGGUUCGGAACAACUGAGGGAAACUUCAGCUAAUACCGAAUAAGUCCUUACGGAGAAAGAUUUAUCGCCAAUAGAUUAGCCCGCGUUCGAUUAGCUAGUUGGUGGGGUAACGGCCCACCAAGGCGACGAUCGAUAGCUGUUCUGAGAGGAAGAUCAGCCACACUGGGACUGAGACACGGCCCAGACUCCUACGGGAGGCAGCAGUUGGGAAUCUUGGACAAUGGGGGAAACCCUGAUCCAGCCAUGCCGCGUGAGUGAUGAAGGCCUCGGGUUGUAAACUCUUUCGCGCACGACGAUAAUGACGGUAGUGCGAGAAGAAGCUCCGGCUAACUUCGUGCCAGCAGCCGC
rnacentral:rRNA from 1 species